GACGAACGCUGGCGGCGUGCUUAACACAUGCAAGUCGAACGGUAAGGCCCUUCGGGGUACACGAGUGGCGAACGGGUGAGUAACACAUGGGUGAUCUGCCCUGCACUUCGGGACAAGCCUGGGAAACUGGGUCUAAUACCGGAUAGGACCACUGCCUGCAUGGGUGGGGGUGGAAAGCUUUUGCGGUGUGGGAUGGGCCCGCGGCCUAUCAGCUUGUUGGUGGGGUGAUGGCCUACCAAGGCGACGACGGGUAGCCGGCCUGAGAGGGUGACCGGCCACACUGGGACUGAGAUACGGCCCAGACUCCUACGGGAGGCAGCAGUGGGGAAUAUUGCACAAUGGGCGCAAGCCUGAUGCAGCGACGCCGCGUGAGGGAUGACGGCCUUCGGGUUGUAAACCUCUUUCAGCACCGACGAAGCGCAAGUGACGGUAGGUGCAGAAGAAGGACCGGCCAACUACGUGCCAGCCGCCGCCGUAA
rnacentral:rRNA from 1 species